CAAUAGCGUAUAUUAAAGUUGUUGCGGUUAAAAAGCUCGUAGUUGGAUUUCUGCUGAGAACGACCGGUCCGCCCUUUGGGUGUGUAUCUGGCUCUUUCUUGGCAUCUUCUUGGUGAACGUUGCUGCACUUGACUGUGUGGAGCGCUACCCAGGACUUUUACUUUGAGGAAAUUAGAGUGUUUCAAGCAGGCAUACGCCUUGAAUACAUUAGCAUGGAAUAAUAAGAUAGGACCUCGGUUCUAUUUUGUUGGUUUCUAGAGCUGAGGUAAUGAUUAAUAGGGAUAGUUGGGGGCAUUCGUAUUUAACUGUCAGAGGUGAAAUUCUUGGAUUUGUUAAAGACGAACUACUGCGAAAGCAUUUGCCAAGGAUGUUUUCAUUG
rnacentral:rRNA from 1 species